rnacentral:misc_RNA from 1 species
GAUGAAGAACGUAGCGAAAUGCGAUAAGUAGUGUGAAUUGCAGAAUUCAGUGAAUCAUCGAAUCUUUGAACGCACAUUGCGCCCCUUGGUAUUCCAUGGGGCAUGCCUGUUCGAGCGUCAUUUGUACCUUCAAGCUCUGCUUGGUGUUGGGUGUUUGUCUCGCCUCUGCGUGUAGACUCGCCUUAAAACAAUUGGCAGCCGGCGUAUUGAUUUCGGAGCGCAGUACAUCUCGCGCUUUGCACUCAUAACGACGACGUCCAAAAGUACAUUUUUACACUCUUGACCUCGGAUCAGGUAGGGAUACCCGCUGAACUUAAGUAUAUCAAUAAGCGGAGGA